rnacentral:rRNA from 1 species
AGUGAACGCUGGCGGUAGGCCUAACACAUGCAAGUCGAACGGCAGCACAGUAAGAUCUUGCUCUUACGGGUGGCGAGUGGCGGACGGGUGAGGAAUACAUCGGAAUCUACUUUUUCGGGGGGGAUAACGUAGGGAAACUUACGCUAAUACCGCAUACGACCUACGGGUGAAAGCAGGGGAUCUUCGGACCUUGCGCGAUUGAAUGAGCCGAUGUCGGAUUAGCUAGUUGGCGGGGUAAAGGCCCACCAAGGCGACGAUCCGUAGCUGGUCUGAGAGGAUGAUCAGCCACACUGGAACUGAGACACGGUCCAGACUCCUACGGGAGGCAGCAGUGGGGAAUAUUGGACAAUGGUCGCAAGCCUGAUCCAGCCAUACCGCGUGGGUGAAGAAGGCCUUCGGGUCGUAAAGCCCUUUUGUUGGGAAAGAAAAGCAGCAGGUUAAUACCCCGCUGUUCUGACGGUACCCAAAGAAUAAGCACCGGCUAACUUCGUG